CCGAAAAGCUUAAAUAAUUAAAACAAAAAAUACACAGCAAAAAUAAAGUCCAAACAUGAAACAGUCCAAGAUAGUCCAAAAAUGCUGAAAUAAUAAAAUUAAGAAAAAUAUAAUGAUUAAUUAAUUUAUUUUUAACCAAGUUCCGUCACACCGACCCAUCCUAAGUCUGAGGGUUACCUAAUUGACAAACAACAGAAAGUGAGUUUUUGAAACUUAGUGUGUAACAUAUCAUACAGAAAUCAAUUAGACAUAUAGAUAUAUAUAUUAGAAGCAGAGCUUAUCAAAACAUAACAGAUGCAAAUAUAUAUAAUCCUAUCCCCAUCCACUACACACCAUCUUUGCCAUCCCAACACACCAUAUAGGGUAUUAUAAAUCCAUCCAACCCUACACACUGUUUAGUGCUGAUAUGACACUUUUCAAAAUAUUUGCAGCUGAACUACCAGUUUAUUAAGUGUGAUUUAUCGCUUCUUACAAAAAAAUAUGUGGUUGUGCCACCAAUUACGAUAGAGAUAGCCUACACUUCUAUCAUAUACACAAGUCCCAUCCCAAAUGCAAAUGCAGAACUAACAGAUUUCUAAUAUUUUUAUGAUAUACAUGCUUAUCAUGACCAAUACAGAACAUACAUAACACUUUUCAGAUUAUACAUACUAUAGAUUUAUCACCUCAUAUAUACGUGCAUAUAUCAUAUUUUAUGCUAACAGAUGGUCAAAUUUCAUGUUUUAUAACUUCAUUGAUCACAUACAAACCCUAUGGAAGGCCUACAUUCGAUUCAAAUGAUAUUUACGGCCUUAGGCACACGUAUGGCCUACACGGCCUCACACAUGCCCUUGUGUGGCCCACACGGCCCAAUUGGCCUAAACUAUGUGUCACACAUAGCCCAGCACACAGCCUGUCACAUGGUUGUAUGUCACACACACGAUAGUGUGGCAUCAACAAUAUAGAUUUUUACUUUUGUUGUUCGCUAAUUUUCAGGUUUUUCGCUACACUCAUUUAUUGUUUCUAAAGUGAAUCCACUCGUAAGACUUCCAAAACCUAAAAUGUUAAUUAACCCACCUGAUUAGCAAUGAUUUCCCAAUUUUCCAACUAACACUUCCAUUCAAAAACGUUAGUAUAAACAUUAUUAAUCUAAAAUUUAGACUCUUAGGCGUUCUAACACUCACCCAAAAAUCCACAGCAGAACCAAGUACCACUGACUCACAAUAGGAAAAUUUUGAACUUCUUGAUUAACACUUAACAACAAAAAUUUACGAGAUUAAACCAUGCUCCAAUGAUAAUUAAGCCAUUAAUCACAACCCUUAUACAAAACUAUAGAGAACACUUACCUAUGAAUUCCCGUAGAAUCAUAAUCGCACAAAAGAAUAAGGUUGAACCCCAUACCAAUUCACAAGGAAGAGAUUAAAACAAAAUAACAAAGAAAUCAAGAACAAAAUAGCACAGGAGGCGUAAAUGAAAGAAGGGAAAAUAAAGAAAGUACAAGAAAGGAAGGAACAAAAAGAAUAGAACGUGGAAGCACAAUUGGGAAAUGUGGGGAAUUUGGGAAAGAUUAAAUGAAGUAAAAUAAAAUAAUAAAAAUCUUUUUCUUUUUCUAGCCAUUUAAUUUUUGAAAAGAAAACAAUAAAAGAAUCAUGAUAACCACCUAUCAGAUACCGAUAACCACACAGAUUUUUUUAAGAAUUUGAAUUUAACUUAUCCACGAGAACAAGGCAAAGCAUAAAAAUAUUCCACUAGCUCGUGCAAAAAGUCGAACACAUGAUUAAAAGGUUUACAAGGACUUAACCAUUGAACCACUAAGCUUAUCAUUAACAUAGAUUGACCAAAAAUAAUUUUUAACCCCAACAAACAGAGUUAGGUCUAGGGAAAAAAUACUUGAAUUUUCCCCAAAGAUAGAUUUGAACCCAAGACCUCAAAUACAUAAAAAAAGGUACUUAACCACUAAAGCAAAUACUGAUUAAUAUCAAAAUUUAACAGAUCAACAAUUAAAUUUUUGGGACGUUAUGUGACAGCCCUAAACUGACCCUAGUCGAAAAGUGGUUUCGGGACCACGAAACCGAGUCCUAUAAGAAAUUAAAAGAUAUAUUCCGUGUUUAUAAUGUGAGUAAAUGCAUGUGUGAAAGUUUCAUGCAUUAAUUUGAUUAUUUUUAUGUGAAUUUAGUUAAAAAGGACUUAUGUGAAAAAUAUUAAAAUUGUGGUAGGUUGAAGUGUAGUGGUCAAAUAUUGCAUGGCUUAAAAUAUGGGGAUUUGCAUGUCAAAUUCCCCAUUUUUAUGUAAGUGGCUGGCCAUGAUGAUGGUUGAAUAGCCAUAUAUGCAUUAUAUAUUAUAUUAUAAUAGUUAAUGGUUUAAAUUUUAAAAUAAAAAAAGGGGAAGCCAUACAUCCUUGCCUUGUGCUUGCCAAAUGUUGAGAAAGAAAGAAGAAAUAUAAUUAUUAAAUGAUAUUUGGCCACUACAUAGGUAAGUGGACGGUAAUGGACCACCAUUUAAAAGGUUUUCAUAUUAAAUUACAAAGAUUAAUUUAGUAAUUGGCUUAUUAAAAUGAAAUAUAAUAGAAGAUGGUGAUAAAAACAAAGUUACACCCAUCCUUUCUUGCAUUUUUGCCGAAAACCAUAAAGAAAAGAAAAUGGAAAUGAAGCUAGGGCAUUCGGCUAUGGUGAAUGUAUAGAUUAAGGUAUGUUUAAUGCUCUUUCAUUGAAAAUCCUUGUAUAUUUGGAGUGGUCAUCAAGUAUAGAAGUCAGCUCAUGGCAAACUUUUUGUAAAUGGAUGAAGAUGACAUUUGGUCAUGGAUGUUUAUAUUUCUUUGAUGUUGGUUUCGAUGUUUUGUGUAUUGAGGGUUGAUAAUAGAUGGAAGCCGAAUGGUUGUUGUAUGUAGAUAGCAUGCAUGCCAAUAAUGUUUUUAUUUUCUACUUAAUGUCUUAUUGAUUAUGAGUUAACAUGAAUAUUUAGUUGAACAUAUACCUUGAAUUAUGUUCAAAAAUUUUAAUUGAUUAGUUGUACUCUUCUUUUUGCUUUUGAAUAUUCGAAAUAUUGAAGGUGAAAGGCUGGAAAAUUUCAAGUUGAAAUGUUGUCCAAAUGCUGGAAAUUUAGCAUGCAUAUUCUUUUAUUUAAAUGCUUUGACCGAAUGUUGGAAGUUAACUUGAAUGAUGUCUGGUUGCUGCAUGAGGGAGUUAAAAUUGAACUUAAGAUAGUUUAUUACUAAUUAAUUUGCUGCUGUAAUGCUGUAAAUUAUUGGCUGUCCAAAUUAGGACAAAUUUAUGGUACUUAGCUAAUUAAUAUGCUGCUGUAAUACUUAAAUUAUUGGCUCUCCAAAUUAGGACAAAAUCAUGGUGUUAUGUGCUAGCAUGAUAUGUAUGUGUGAUUGAAGUGAAAAAUGUUUAGAUGAUUUAUAGUAAUUGGCUAAUGUGUUUUUGUGGAUAUAGAUGCCGAAUGUGGACUCAAGAAAUUAAUUGGAAAAUUUGUUGUUUGUUUAGGUGAUAGAAAGUAUGAAAUAGUCUUAUGUGAUACGUGUAUAUAAGUAGAUGGAAGUGAAGUGUCCUAUAUUUUUGUGUAUGGGAUUAAUUGCAUUUUGAUUUUAAUGUGCAUGAUUAUUACUAUGUUUAAAAUGUGUGAAAGCCGAAUAUGCUCAUGAUACAAUGCUUGAUUAGUUGAUUAACAAUAAGUUAAAUUUGUGUAAUCCAAGCUUAAGAGCAAAGAGGAUCAAAGUCGGAUAGGGGAAAAGAGAAAGUAAACAAAUAGCCGUGGAUAUCUAGUCGUCGACCACUUCCGAGGUAAGUUUUAAGUGAUUAAACGUUGAGUAAAUUCAAUCAUAAUAGGACAUAAUGAGUUGAUUUAAUAAGGUAUGAUGUGGCCAUGAUAUGUCUUAAACUCAAAUGGUAAGUUCAUAUGUGUUUGGACUUGGAAAUUUAAGAGCAAAUUGUAAUAAUUUGCUUUGGACAGCAGCAGUAACGUGAUUUUAGAAAAUCACUAUAAAUUGUUGGUGUGGAAUUAUAGGCUGAAUAAAAUAUGUAAUCAAGGCUUAAUUAGUCUAGUUUCUUAUAAAAGAGACCUUGUGAGCAAAGAAAUUUCCUAUAAAGAGAUAUUUAAAGUUGUGUGAGACGGUGUCAGAAUGACUCCGAAAUCCCCUGAUCUGUUUUUAGAAAAUCAUUAUAAAUUGUACAAAAAUGGUUAUAAGAUAAAAUUUAUAUGCUUAGACUCCUUAAUGAGUCUAGUUUCAAAUGAAAUCAAAUACAACACAUUUUGAAUUCUGUAAAAUGAGAAAUUUGAUUCGUAGUGAAGAGUGGUCAGAUUAGUCAAACAGUGAAACAGGGGAAACUUUAAGAAAAAUCUGGUAUUUAUUGGACAAACCUAAAAUUCUGGAAAUUUUAUGGAUAGAAUAUAUACGAGUCUAUAUUCAGGAAAAAUUAACGGCAAGUGAUUUGGAGUUUUGUAUCUCUGGUUAUAAAUAAUUUAGUGACCAUUGCUCAGGAAAACAGCUCGUAGUGAAUAUGUGAUUUUGUUGUAAACAUGGAUAAAACUUGUUUUAGUUGCUCAUAAGCUAUUGAUUAAACCCAUACUUGAAUUCUAAAUCGUGAUAUUGUAAGUUUAUGAGUAUUCGAAUAUGAAAUGAUAGUAUGGCGUAAAAUUGAAUUAUUCAUUGGAAAGUGAUGGAUGUAGAUUCGGCCAAGACCAAGUCUGUACAUGAUAGUAUAUGUGGUAUGUGAAGUAUAUUUGAAUGAAUGUGAAAGUAUAUAUAUGUGAUAAGGCCUAAUGGCCGAUGUGAUGAAUGUGAAAGUGUAUAUAUGUGAUAAGGCCUAAUGGCCGAUGUGAUGAAUGUGAAAGUGUAUAUAUGUGAUAAGGCCUAAUGGCCGAUGUGAUGAAUGUGAAAGUGUAUAUAUGUGAUAGGGCCGAGUGGCCAACGUGAUGGAUGUGAAAGUGUAUAAAUGUGAUAAGUCCCGAAGGGCAUUUGUGUCAGUACUAUAUCCGGGUUAAAACCCCGCAGGCUUUAUGCGAGAUUAUUAUCACUGAUUAAUGUCCGUAGGCUUCGUGCUCGUACUAUAUCCGAGCUCUAAAGACCCGAUGACUACGUGUGGAGAUUUUGUCCAGGUAAGCCCCGAACUAAAGGUUUUGCUGAAGAUUCAAGUAAAGCGUAAGAUUAUACAACUUCACAGUAACAAUUGGUAAUAAAUACGUUCAAUGCGUUAAGUUGGUCAGGUAUGUAUUUUGAGAUUAUAUUUAAGUUUGAUUUAGACUAAAUCACAAGGUCGUUAUGUGAUGCACAUGUGAGUAAAGCAAUAAGACUGUUCUAUGAUUAUUGUGCAUUUGGUCAAUGUGGAAAGUCAGGAAAAAAAAUAUGUAAUGUACCUAUGAUCAUAAGAGGUCACUAUCAAGUGAGAAUUUAUCUGCCUAUUAUAUAUGAUGAGAUGUGCAUAUUCAGUAAAGGGAUGGUAUGCCCGAAGGAAGAGUGAAAUAAAAAAUACGAACAACUAUGUUAUAAUUUGAUUGUUAUCUGUUGACACUGCUUAAAACUUACUAAGCAUUAUAAUGCUUACUCCGUGUACUUUGUUUCCUCUGUUUUAUAGAUCUCAUUUGGAAGCUACAGGCUCGGGGAUCAUCAGCAACUAGUCACACUAUCACUAUCCACUGUUUGGUACUGCUACGUUUUGGAUUAUCUUAUGGCAUGUAUAGAAUAGACUAGUAGUGAGAGGAUAUUUUGGUUAAUGUAUAUAAGCCAUGCGAAAAUGGCAUCUUUUGAAUGUGUACUUAUAGAAGUUUAAAUUGUAUCCCUGACUGUCUCUAGUACUUAUCUAGAGGAAUGUUCAAAAAAAAAAUUUACUGUUCUGAUAUGAGUUUCAAGACUGGUAAUGCCCCUUUAUCUAUUCCGGCGACGGAUACGGGAUUGGGGUGUUACACGUUACACAUUUAAAGUCUUUCAUUUCAAUUUUUAGAAUUUAUAAUAUAGGUAGGAAAUAGUUUGCCUAACUCUAUAUAUAAGCACCAAAGUAUCAUUUAUACACAUUUAAACUCUCCUUUUUAAUUAGUCCGUAUACAAGUUAUGGUAUCUUGUGUUUUGUAUCAUUUUAUGGAAAUUUUGGUAUUUUAAGCUUGUAUCGACACUUGUCGACAUAAAGCAAGACUUUACUUUUUUAUAUAUAUAUUUUUGGCCAUAGUGGUCUUAUCCAAACCUUCUAUAAUGAUAGUACGGUUCAUACAUAUACAUAUCCUAUAAAGCUUUAGUUACUUCCAUGGCAACUUUAACAUCCUUUUAACAUAAUUGCCUAACAACACAUCUCAUGGCCACUAAUAAAAACACUUUACAUUUUAAUGACUUAUUUCAUUGCAUUAUGCCAUGGGAUUACACACUAAUAUAUUAACACUUAACUAUGACUUCAAUUUCAUAAACCCUAAGCUUACUAACUUAAGGGAAAAAUGAUCCAAGAUACUUUUCCAACAUUUAAUCAAUCUUUGAUGAACACCAAUCCAUCAUCAAUUAAGCUUGGAAAUCCUCAAAUCACCAUUUCCUCAUUUCUAUGCAACCAAAAUAUAAUAAAAAAUGAACAUAAAUUCUUUCUAAGCUUUUUCAUAUCAUUUCUCAAUAAUUAUCAAACUAAUCGAGGUGUAGAAAACCAUUUCUUACCAUUAUUGAAGCUUUCUCACUCUAGCUUUAUCUUCUCUCAACAAAGCUCCAUAAACCCUAAGUUGAAAUUAGUGAAAUUGAUUAUGGUAAUGAGUUCAGGAGGUGGUUUCCAUAAAGAUUUCAACAAAAUUUUAAGGUGAGUAAUGGAAAUUUUGAAAGAAAAUGAAGAAAU
rnacentral:lncRNA from 1 species